rnacentral:lncRNA from 1 species
CCUAAGUCAAUCAACCAACCACCCUACAUGACUCAGAACUGACGAGUCUUCACACUUGCUCGACCGGACUUAGGACUCUAACCCACUCAUAACCGACCAGUAUUAUCUAUCAACCGAUGAAUCUCUGAUCAAGUUAGAACCGGCCCUUGAUCCACCAUCUAAGGAUCAGGUCGUCCAUACUCAACCACAAAAAGAUCACACUCGGCCGCCCUGGUAUAAAGACAUGACCCCAAUCA